rnacentral:rRNA from 1 species
GGGGUGGCGGUGCUAUACAUGCAGUCGAGCGAACAGACGAGGAGCUUGCUCCUCUGACGUUAGCGGCGGACGGGUGAGUAACACGUGGAUAACCUACCUAUAAGACUGGGAUAACUUCGGGAAACCGGAGCUAAUACCGGAUAAUAUAUUGAACCGCAUGGUUCAAUAGUGAAAGACGGUUUUGCUGUCACUUAUAGAUGGAUCCGCGCCGCAUUAGCUAGUUGGUAAGGUAACGGCUUACCAAGGCAACGAUGCGUAGCCGACCUGAGAGGGUGAUCGGCCACACUGGAACUGAGACACGGUCCAGACUCCUACGGGAGGCAGCAGUAGGGAAUCUUCCGCAAUGGGCGAAAGCCUGACGGAGCAACGCCGCGUGAGUGAUGAAGGUCUUCGGAUCGUAAAACUCUGUUAUUAGGGAAGAACAAAUGUGUAAGUAACUAUGCACGUCUUGACGGUACCUAAUCAGAAAGCCACGGCUAACUACGUGCCAGCAGCCGCGGUAAUACGUAGGUGGCAAGCGUUAUCCGGAAUUAUUGGGCGUAAAGCGCGCGUAGGCGGUUUUUUAAGUCUGAUGUGAAAGCCCACGGCUCAACCGUGGAGGGUCAUUGGAAACUGGAAAACUUGAGUGCAGAAGAGGAAAGUGGAAUUCCAUGUGUAGCGGUGAAAUGCGCAGAGAUAUGGAGGAACACCAGUGGCGAAGGCGACUUUCUGGUCUGUAACUGACGCUGAUGUGCGAAAGCGUGGGGAUCAAACAGGAUUAGAUACCCUGGUAGUCCACGCCGUAAACGAUGAGUGCUAAGUGUUAGGGGGUUUCCGCCCCUUAGUGCUGCAGCUAACGCAUUAAGCACUCCGCCUGGGGAGUACGACCGCAAGGUUGAAACUCAAAGGAAUUGACGGGGACCCGCACAAGCGGUGGAGCAUGUGGUUUAAUUCGAAGCAACGCGAAGAACCUUACCAAAUCUUGACAUCCUCUGACCCCUCUAGAGAUAGAGUUUUCCCCUUCGGGGGACAGAGUGACAGGUGGUGCAUGGUUGUCGUCAGCUCGUGUCGUGAGAUGUUGGGUUAAGUCCUCGCAACGAGCGCACCCUUAAGCUUAGUUGCCAUCAUUAAGUUGGGCACUCUAAGUUGACUGCCGGUGACAACCGGGAGAAGGUGGGGGAUGACGUCAAAU